UUACGGCCACAUCACGUUGAAACAUCGGUUCCCGUACGAUCAGCAAAGUUAAGCAACGCCGAGCCUGGUCAGUACCUAGAUGCAUUAACGCUUGUGAAUACCAGGUGCUGUAAG